GCUGGGUGAGGUGGCGCAUGCCUGUAAUCCCAGCAACUCAGGAGGCUGAGACAGGAGGAUCUCAAGUUCAAAGAUAGCCUCAGCAAAGGUGAGACACUAAGUAACUCAGUGAGUCCCUGUCUCUA
rnacentral:sRNA from 1 species